rnacentral:rRNA from 2 species
GUCGAGCGGAYUGAUGGGAGCUUGCUCCCAUCAKYCAGCGGCGGACGGGUGAGUAACACGUGGGUAACCUGCCUGUMAGACUGGGAUAACUCCGGGAAACCGGGGCKRAUACCGGAUAACUCAUUUCCUCGCAUGAGGAAAUGUUGAAAGGUGGCUUUUAGCUAUCACUUACAGAUGGACCCGCGGCGCAUUAGCUAGUUGGKGAGGUARCGGCUCACCAAGGCGACGAUGCGUAGCCGACCUGAGMSRGUSNNNNRMCAYACUGGGACUGAGACACGGHNNNRACUCMUACGGGAGGCAGCAGUAGGGAAUCUUCCGCAAUGGACGAAAGUCUGACGGAGCAACGCCGCGUGAGUGAUGAAGGUUUUCGGAUCGUAAAACUCUGUUGUUAGGGAAGAACAAGUACCGUUCGAAUAGGGCGGUACCUUGACGGUACCUAACCAGAAAGCCACGGCUAACUACGUGCCAGCAGCCGCGGUAAUACGUAGGUGGCAAGCGUUGUCCGGAAUUAUUGGGCGUAAAGCGCGCGCAGGUGGUUCCUUAAGUCUGAUGUGAAAGCCCACGGCUCAACCGUGGAGGGUCAUUGGAAACUGGGGRACUUGAGUGCARAARAGGAAAGUGGAAUUCCAAGUGUAGCGGUGAAAUGCGUAGAUAUUUGGAGGAACACCAGUGGCGAAGGCKACUUUCUGGUCUGUAACUGAMACUGAGGCGCGAAAGCG